rnacentral:rRNA from 1 species
CUGAUUGGCGGGGAGGAUGGUGGGUGAAGAGGUGGGGGGGUAGGGUUGGCCGGAUGUAGUGGGGGUAAAGAGGGUGGAGGCGGUGAGGUAGGUCUGAUGUGAAAACUGGAGGCGCAACCUGGGAAGGGCGACCGAAACCGUCCGGCGAGAGUCCGGGAGAGGGGAGUGGAAUUCCUGGUGUAGCGGUGAAAUGCGCAGAUAUCAGGAAGAACACCCGUGGCGAAAGCGGCUCUCUGGAACGGUACUGACGCUGAGACGCGAAAGCGUGGGGAGCGAACAGGAUUAGAUACCCCAGUAGUC